GCUGCCGGGGCGGGCGCUGCGAGUGACGUUUCCCUUCGCCUUUCUUUCCCCUUGGAUUUUCGAGAUGCUGCUGGGAAAACUUGCGCAGCCGGCGCGCAGCUUGAGCGAACGGCUGUCGGCGGGCGGCUGCAGGCGGUUCUGGGGCUGGCUGAACGCCGUGUUCAACAAGGUGGACUACGAGCGCAUCCAGGCUGUUGGGCCCGACAGGGCAGCCUCAGAGUGGCUGCUGCGGUGUGGAGCACUGGUACGCUAUAAAGGCUAUGAGAAAUGGCAGCAGGACUACAGCGGCCUCCCCACUGGGCCCUUAGGGAAAUACAAGAUAGAAGCAAUCAACGCCACUGAGUCUUGCAUCAUGUACAGAGGAUUUGACUACUUGGAUGGUCUUGAACACGUUACUGAAAUCAAGCUGCAGAAGUGCAUUUAUAUACAGGAUGAGUGCCUGCAGAGGCUCAGCGACACAAAGAACCUACAAAAGAGCCUCCUGCAGUUGAAGAUCAUUUCCUGUGGGAAUGUCACAGAUAAAGGCAUCAUUGCACUUCACAAGCUGACGAACCUUGAAUAUUUGUAUCUGAGUGACCUUCCUGGAAUAAGACAGAAAGAAACUACUGCUCGUGUCCUUCAGCAGGCACUGCCAAACCUAGAGCUGGAGCUGGAUCUGGACUGAAUGCAACGAGGGAUAUUUGAUUUCAUGCUCUUUAUCACAUGUUGUGUAAAUUAAGUUGUGGAUGCUGCUCUGUUUACAGGCGAAUGACUUCACAUGACAAAGCCAGCAAAUAUAAAUAACUUCGUAUUGCAAGGAAGAGACAGACAGGAGAAGCUCUGGAAAGGCCAAAGAAAAAAAGCAGACUUCAGUAAUUACAUUCUCCUUCUGUUCCCAGUGCCUGAGGAGCCUUCCAGUAAGUCUAAGUCAAUGCCUGUGCUCGUGAUACUUUAUACUUUCUAUAAAGAUACUUUGCCUUACACAAGA